rnacentral:rRNA from 1 species
GACGAACGCUGGCGGCGUGCUUAACACAUGCAAGUCGAACGGAAAGGCCCUGCGUUUGUUGGGUUCUCGUUUGGCGAACGGGGGAGUAACACGUGAGUAACCUGCCCUUGACUGUGGGAUAACUUCAGGAGACAGGGGCGAAUAUCGGAGAGGAGAUCUUGCUCCAUGGGGGUGGUUGGAAAGUGUCGGCUGUGGUGGAUGGACUCGCGGCUUAGCAGCGAGUUGGGAGGGUAGUGGCUUACCAAGGUUACGAUGGGGAGCCGGCCUGCGAGGGUGAUCGGCCACACUGGAACUGAGACACGGUCCAGACUCCUACGGGAGGCAGCAGUAGGGAAUCGUCCGCAAUGGGCGAACGCCUGACGGAGCAACGCCGCGUGAGUGAUGAAGGUCUUCGGAUCGUAAAACUCUGUUAUUAGGGAAGAACAAAUGUGUAAGUAACUAUGCACGUCUUGACGGUACCUAAUCAGAAAGCCACGGCUAACUACGUG